rnacentral:rRNA from 1 species
GUACACUCCUACGGGAGGCAGCAGUGGGGAAUUUUGGACAAUGGGCGAAAGCCUGAUCCAGCAAUGCCGCGUGAGUGAAGAAGGCCUUCGGGUUGUAAAGCUCUUUUGUCAGGGAAGAAACGGUGAGAGCUAAUAUCUCUUGCUAAUGACGGUACCUGAAGAAUAAGCACCGGCUAACUACGUGCCAGCAGCCGCGGUAAUACGUAGGGUGCAAGCGUUAAUCGGAAUUACUGGGCGUAAAGCGUGCGCAGGCGGUUUUGUAAGUCUGAUGUGAAAUCCCCGGGCUCAACCUGGGAAUUGCAUUGGAGACUGCAAGGCUAGAAUCUGGCAGAGGGGGGUAGAAUUCCACGUGUAGCAGUGAAAUGCGUAGAUAUGUGGAGGAACACCGAUGGCGAAGGCAGCCCCCUGGGUCAAGAUUGACGCUCAUGCACGAAAGCGUGGGGAGCAAACAGGAUUAGAAACCCCUGUAGUCCCAUGAU